rnacentral:rRNA from 1 species
GUGCCAGCCGCGGCGGUAAUACGUAGGGUGCAAGCGUUAAUCGGAAUUACUGGGCGUAAAGCGUGCGCAGGCGGUUCGGAAAGAAAGAUGUGAAAUCCCAGGGCUCAACCUUGGAACUGCAUUUUUAACUCCCGAACUAGAGUAUGUCAGAGGGGGUGGAAUUCCACGUGUAGCAGUGAAAUGCGUAGAUAUGUGGAGGAACACCGAUGGCGAAGGCAGCCCCCUGGGAUAAUACUGACGCUCAUGCACGAAAGCGUGGGAGCAAACAGGAUUAGAUACCCUGGUAGUCCAACGCCCUAAACGAUGUCAACUAGCUGUUGGCCCGUUCGGGCUUAGUAGCGCAGCUAACGCGU